rnacentral:rRNA from 1 species
CCUACGGGAGGCAGCAGUGGGGAAUUUUGGACAAUGGGCGCAAGCCUGAUCCAGCAAUGCCGCGUGCAGGAAGAAGGCCUUCGGGUUGUAAACUGCUUUUGUCCGGAACGAAACGGUCCUGGCUAAUACCUGGGGCUGAUGACGGUACCGUAAGAAUAAGCACCGGCUAACUACGUGCCAGCAGCCGCGGUAAUACGUAGGGUGCGAGCGUUAAUCGGAAUUACUGGGCGUAAAGCGUGCGCAGGCGGUUUUGUAAGACAGGUGUGAAAUCCCCGGGCUCAACCUGGGAACUGCACUUGUGACUGCAAGGCUAGAGUGCGGCAGAGGGGGAUGGAAUUCCGCGUGUAGCAGUGAAAUGCGUAGAUAUGCGGAGGAACACCGAUGGCGAAGGCAAUCCCCUGGGCCUGUACUGACGCUCAUGCACGAAAGCGUGGGGAGCAAACAGGAUUAGAUACCCUGGUAG